rnacentral:lncRNA from 1 species
AAAAACAAAAUCUACAAAGCCUCUUGUUAAGUAGUAGUUCUGAUAUGCAACAUGAACAUCCAUGUGCAUCCUCAGCAACACGUUCAAUUGAUUGAUUCGUCAAAAACACUAGGAGGAAGACAAAAACAAAGCUUAAUCAUAAUUAAGAAAAAAAACAAACCAAAAUUAAAUAAUUAUCAAAUUAAAAAUAAACAAUCUAUUUUAAAACAUCACUAAAAUGUUAAAAGCACUACAUAAUGAAUCCAAAAACAAAUAAGUAAACAGCAAAUUCAAAAAAAAAAAAAAAAAAAACCCUAAUAAUAAUAAUCCUGCUUAACUACACAAUAAUAUCUGAAAAAAUUUCAAAAAAAAACAAAUGUUGUUGAAACCAAUGAAAUUGAGAUUUCAAAAUCUCCAUAAAUGCAUAACAGAUUAAAUCUGAUAGGAUAAAAGAGUGAAUGAAUGGAAGAAUAACACAGCCAGAAAUCAUGUAGAUAAAUUUUAAAUUAACGAAGAAAGAAAUCGCACAAACCUUGUUCUAGGGUUUCUUGAUAAGAAUACUACUCUUUGUUGAUUUUCCUACAAGUUUUGUUGGAUUUGGAAAAAAUAAGUUAUGAUGAUUUUAGACGAAAAAAAAGAGUUUUAAUUAAGAAAGAGAAGAGAAAGUGUUUGAGAUAAGUUGUUGGUUUGGUUGACGUGAUUAUCAAGUCGUCCCGUUUAACAAUGAAUAAUCG